rnacentral:SRP_RNA from 1 species
GUCCAGGUGCUAUGCAAGAUGUAGCUACAAAACCCCGCCAGAUCCGGAAGGAAGCAACGGUAUGUAGAUUACAACUGUGCCGUAGAUUACCUGGGCUCU